rnacentral:siRNA from 1 species
CAAAUUCAUCCGGUGUUCCAUGUG